rnacentral:rRNA from 1 species
GUUCUUGGCACUGAUAGAUGUCCGUCGAACUACUGGCAAUACUUUGUGUGGUGCUACGAAUUCCUUCCUGGGAAGCAAAAGUUUUAUACAAUGGGCUUAGCGGCCGUAUGUUGGGCCAUUUGGCUGGCACGCAAUCGAGCUACUUUUGAAAAGAAACAAAUCAAGACUCCUUUUGAGAUUGUGUUUUCUCUAUGCUCUUUUCUACUUUACUGGACAGGGCUACAACAAGGAGAGGACGCCAAGGAGCUUCACACUGGAUCUGAGAUGAUCAGGACUGGCACAAUGCAGCUGAUGAAGAUGUGUGGUGCUGCCAAGCAACCAAUCCAAGGUGCUUGA